rnacentral:rRNA from 1 species
UAUGUGAUCGUCUCUCGCAUAUCAAUAAGCGGAGGAAAAGAAACUAACAAGGAUUCCCCUAGUAACGGCGAGUGAAGCGAGAAGAGCUCAAAUUUGAAAUCUUAAAGGGUUUCCCUUUACGAAUUGUAGUUUAAAGAAGUGUUUUCUGUUGAGGUUUUGGUAAAAGUUCUUUGGAAUAGGACAUCAUAGAGGGUGAGAAUCCCGUAUUUGACCUUUACUUUCAACUUUGUGAUACACUUUCAAAGAGUCGGAUUGUUUGGGAAUGCAGUCCAAAAUGGGUGGUAAAUUUCAUCUAAAGCUAAAUAUUGGCGAGAGACCGAUAGCGAACAAGUACCGUGAGGGAAAGAUGAAAAGAACUUUGAAAAGAGAGUUAAACAGUACGUGAAAUUGUCAAAAGGGGAGCGUUUGACACCAGUGUUGUUUUUCUGAAAAUCAAUUAAAGAACUGUUUAUGCUAAGUUGUUUAGACUUUAUCAGCUAACUGUUUAGUUUUGAGCUUUUCUUUAAUGCACUUUUCAGUUAACAAGUCAACAUCAAUUUCUUUUGCUGUAAAAAAGCUUGAGGAAGGUGGCUUGAGAUUCGUCUUAAGUGUUUAUAGCCUCUUGCCUAUGCAGUCGGAGAGAUUGAGGUCUGCAGCGUAGAUCCUUCGGGGCUAAAUGCAUUUGUGCUAAGUUAUAGCAUUUUAUAGACAACUUAGUUGACUAUGAUUUGUCUUGUAGCUUACUCGCUUAUGUUAUUUUACCUACGCUUAGGAUGUUGAUAUGCAUGACUGAUAU